rnacentral:lncRNA from 1 species
UUGAAUUUGGAAUUACGGGGUUGGUUGUAGCAAAUGUGAAAUGUAUGAAAGAAUAGUAAAAUGAAAGAUGAAGGAGUUAAAAGGAAUGAAUUGAUAUAUUAUAUGCAUGUUAUAAUGUUUGAAUAUUUAUUUUAACUGCAUAUGAACAUUCGGCUAAUUAUGAAAAUGUGAGAUUGGAAGUGAUGAGUAGUUAUGUGAAAGAGUAUAUGUAUAUUAAAAAAUGUUGGAAAUUAUAUGUGAAUGAUUGAUAGAUAUAUGGACUGAUAAAUUUGGAUGAAUAUGUGAUUAUGGAAGUAUGACUCGGUUAUUUAAUUGGACU